rnacentral:rRNA from 1 species
GAACGCUGGCGGCAGGCUUAACACAUGCAAGUCGAGCGGUAACAGAGAGUAGCUUGCUACUUUGCUGACGAGCGGCGGACGGGUGAGUAACGCGUAGAAAUCUGCCUGGUAGUGGGGGAUAGCCCAGAGAAAUUUGGAUUAAUACCGCAUACGCCCUACGGGGGAAAGCAGGGGACCUUCGGGCCUUGCGCUAUCAGAUGAGUCUGCGUCGGAUUAGCUUGUUGGUGAGGUAAUGGCUCACCAAGGCGACGAUCCGUAGCUGGUCUGAGAGGAUGAUCAGCCACACUGGGACUGAGACACGGCCCAGACUCCUACGGGAGGCAGCAGUGGGGAAUAUUGCACAAUGGGCGAAAGCCUGAUGCAGCCAUGCCGCGUGUGUGAAGAAGGCCUUAGGGUUGUAAAGCACUUUCAGCAGUGAGGAAAGGUUGUAGCUUAAUACGCUAUAGCUGUGACGUUAACUGCAGAAGAAGGACCGGCUAACUCCGUGCCAGCAGCCGCGGUAAUACGGAGGCUCCGAGCGUUAAUCGGAAUUACUGGGCGUAAAGCGCGCGUAGGCGGUUUGUUAAGUCAGAUGUGAAAGCCCCGGGCUCAACCUGGGAACU